rnacentral:rRNA from 1 species
UUGCCGGCGACCGGCGCACGGGUGAGUAACGCGUAUCCCACUUUCCGCUUACUCGGGGAUAGCCUUUCGAAAGAAAGAUUAAUACCCGAUGGUAUCUUAAGCACGCAUGAGAUUAAGAUUAAAGAUUUAUCGGUAAGCGAUGGGGAUGCGUUCCAUCAGGCAGUUGGCGGGGUAACGGCCCACCAAACCUACGAUGGAUAGGGGUUCUGAGAGGAAGGUCCCCCACAUUGGAACUGAGACACGGUCCAAACUCCUACGGGAGGCAGCAGUGAGGAAUAUUGGUCAAUGGGCGAGAGCCUGAACCAGCCAAGUAGCGUGAAGGAUGACGGCCCUACGGGUUGUAAACUUCUUUUGUGCGGGAAUAAAGGAGCCUACGUGUAGGCUUUUGCAUGUACCGUAACGAAUAAGCAUCGGCUAACUCCGUGCCAGCAGCCGCGGUAAUACGGAGGAUGCGAGCGUUAUCCGGAUUUAUUGGGUUUAAAGGGAGCGUAGACGGGUUUUUAAGUCAGCUGUGAAAGUUUGGGGCUCAACCUUAAAAUUGCAGUUGAAACUGGAGACCUUGAGUACGGUUGAGGCAGGCGGAAUUCGUGGUGUAGCGGUGAAAUGCUUAGAUAUCACGAAGAACUCCGAUUG